CGGGGUGAGUAAUGUAUGGGGAUCUGCCUGAUGGCGGGGGAUAACUACUGGAAACGGUAGCUAAUACCGCAUAAUGUCUGCGGACCAAAGUGGGGGACCUCCGGGCCUCGCGCCAUCAGAUGAACCCAUAUGGGAUUAGCUUGUAGGUAAGGUAACGGCUUACCUAGGCGACGAUCCCUAGCUGGUCUGAGAGGAUGAUCAGCCACACUGGGACUGAGACACGGCCCAG
rnacentral:rRNA from 1 species